UACGGGGGGAGCAAGCGUUGUUCGGAUUUACUGGGCGUAAAGGGCGCGUAGGCGGUCAGCACAAGUCAAUUGUGAAAUCUCCGAGCUUAACUCGGAAAGGUCAACUGAUACUGCGGGGCUAGAGUGCGGAAGGGGCAACUGGAAUUCUUGGUGUAGCGGUGAAAUGCGUAGAUAUCAAGAGGAACACCUGCGGCGAAGGCGGGUUGCUGGGCCGACACUGACGCUGAGGCGCGAAAGCUAGGGGAGCGAACGGG
rnacentral:rRNA from 1 species